rnacentral:rRNA from 1 species
GACGAACGCUGGCGGCGUGCCUAAUACAUGCAAGUAGAACGCAGUUGCGAACGGGUGCGUAACGCGUAGGUAACUGCCUGGUAGCGGGGGGUAACUAUUGGAAACGAUCGCUAAUACCGCAUACUAGCAGAUGGACCUUCGUUGUAUUAGCAAGUUGGUGAGGUAACGGCUCACCAAGGCAACGAUACAUAGCCGACCGCAGAGGGUGGUCGGCCACACGUGGACUGAGACACGGCGCCGAGUCCUACGGGGGGUAGGAAGUGGGAAACAUCGGAAAUGGGGGGAACCCUGGACGAGCAACGCCGGGUGGGUGAAGAAGGUUUUCGGAGCGUAAAGCUCUGUUGUUAAGGAAGCGGUACCUAACCAGGAAGGGACGGCUAACUACGUGCCAGCAGCCGCGGUAAUAC